CUCUAUCCUCAGUCCAUCUCUCUAGCUUUCAUUUUUUAUUUUUCCAAAGGAAAUAGCACGCAUCUGUAUAUUUCCCUCUAAAUAUUUUUGCAGGCAUAUUAUUAACUAGAGCUCCAUACUGUUUGUAGAACUUUUGAGGUAAAAUUUAAAUACAGUAAACUAUACCCGUGUGAAGUAUGUAUUUCCUCAGUUCUGACAAGCGCCUAAAGCGGUGUGGCCCAGCCUGUCAUUACUGCUUCGUGUAAAGUGUAGCAGAACUCUCACAAGCGUGAGCCCACUGAGCUCGCUCCGUCCUCCCUGCUGUAACCGUCACACUGUACACCUCUGUGACGGGGCUCCGUCUACGCCGUGGUCCAGCAUUCCACACUUUCAGAGCAUCUUGAUGGAGAGAAGGCGGAUCCGUUUGAGACCUCACAGGAGGGCUCUGUCUCUGGUUUUUCUCCAGAAGAAACUCACAUCCUGGGUUGGGUCUUCUACAAUUAGCUACGGUCUCUAGAAUCAUGGCAGCAGAAGAAAAUGAGAGCAGAUCGACUUAUUUAGUAUCUUAAAAGCCCACAGAGAAACUUUGUGUGAUUACAAAUGGAUCCAAAAGAGGGUGGAGGCCUCUGCCAGCUGGAACCAUGGAGGACCAGGCUCUGGGGAUAAAGCAACUACGUGUCUUAAAAAAGCAAGGCACCUGUGCCACAGGCUUGGCGGGGCAUUGUCAUCAGAGAGCAGUGGCAGCAAGCCUAUGGCACCUGUGGUAUCGCCAACUGUUCAUCAUCAUAGAAAGCUCUAAAAGAUUCAACAUCACCGUAAUCUAGAGGAAAAAGCUUUUGAAAGUAAACUUCUUACAAUAUUUACCCAACGAGUGGUUUGGAGAAGAUAACUUGCUUUCCCUAGCAUGAGGGAGGUAGAAGGAGAGGAAGGAGAAAGACUCUCCCUUUAAAGCAAACUGGCAGUCACCUGAAAG